UUGUAUCUUCACAUGUCUCCAUGCUUUUUUAAGAACAUCAGAAAAUGAACAAACCCCAGGGGUCACUGUCAUUUGGAGAUGUGGCUGUGGACUUCUCCCAGGAGGAGUGGCAGCACCUGGACCCUGCUCAGAGGACCCUGUACAGGGAUGUGAUGCUGGAGAACUACCACAACUUUGUUUCAGUGGGUAAGCUAUUUUCACAUCAAGUUUUAUGUAGCAUGCAUUUUAUUUCUUAGAUACCAAAAUGUUCCGUCUUUUAUAGUUAAUAUUGUUGAGACUUUGCUUCAGGAGUCUGAGGUUGUUAAUCUCUUUUGAGCACAAGGAAGAGUUUUUGUAUUCUCACAUCUCAUGAAGGUUUAAAUGAGCCUAUCAAGGUGCAGAUCCAGAAAUUCUGUCUCCUCGCUCCUUUAGAAUUGCUGUAGCUCAUGUCCAAAUUCUGUGUCAUUUUUCCUUUUACAGGGUAUCUCAUUAAAAAGCCAGCGCUGAUCUUCAAGUUGGAAGAAGGAAAGGAGCCAUGGAUAUUAGAGGAAGAAUUUCUAUACCAGAACUACCCAGCACAGGGACAGCAGUCCCAUUGCAGGUCAGUGAGGCGAAGAGAGGAGCUCCACACAGAGGAGCAGAGUAGUACUGCUGUUCCUAUCACAGAGACAUGGGACACUGCGGAGUUGGCGGCUAAGGAGAUUGCAGAUACAGGGAAUUGUUGGCAUGGUUGGAGAUUGAUUACACUGAGAGGAAGAUGAAUGUAUUGAAAAUGAAGUACAAGUUUCUCCCUGUUGAAAGUGUUUAUAAAUAUAGAAAGAAGACUGAGCAGAACCCUGAAGUGUUGAAUCAGAAUUGGAGGUAUUGGUAGGAAUUGAUCAUUUUUAAAAUAAAUAUACCUUGAUAGACA
rnacentral:lncRNA from 1 species